AUAUCUGCCGUUUUCAAGUUUAACGAUGUAGAAGUAUUCAAAUCAAAUAAAAUUUUGAUACAAAAUUCUUUAUAAUAUCUACAACAAGAUCAAUAUUUCUGAUCGAAAAUUUUAGUGCUAUAUCACCACUUUUUAUAGGAUUUUUAUUUUCAGCGGUUAAAAAUUAUUGAUUUUGAAUCAUUUCGAUUGCUAGAUAAAUGAUAUUGAAAAAUAGCAAAAAUUAUUUUCUAAAAACUUCAAAUACGCUAGAUCAAGUUUAAAGGAGCCGAUCGUCGAUUCAGAAACUCUAUCAUCGAAAACGGCUUAGGAGCACGGAGGCCUCUGUGCUCUUGAGCUACCGUUUGGUUCGGGGUUAAGGAAAAACUAGUUAUUCCAGGGAUAGGGUUAAGUUUAGGGUUAAGGUGGGGUUAGAGUAUUUUUGUGUUUGGUUGGGAAUUGGAGUUAGUCCAGGAUAGUGAAAAAUAGUGUUUGGUUGGAGUAGGUGGGAUAAGAAGGAUAGUGGGUUAUUAUGAAUAGAAAAUAGUGUUUGGUUGGGGUUUGGGGGGGUUAGGUGGGGUUAGCUAACCCGGGAUAACCCAUUUGAGGUGGGGUUAACUAACCCCGCCCAUUUUUAGAAGUGUUUGGGGAUAAAAUGGGGAUUAAGGGAUUAUUCCACCCCUUAACCCCCAAAUAAACGGAGGCUGAGAGCACAGCAGCUCUGCUCUCUCUCUCUCUCUCUCUCUCUCUCUCUCUAUACAUAUAGAGAGAGAGAGCUGCUAUUAGUAGCAAAAUCCUAUUGUUGCUACGAGUUUUUUAGCCUUUGGAUCAACUCUUUUCAUUAUUUCUAACCAUUGGAUUAAAUACUAUAACCCAGUGGGGACCACUCAAUUCUAACUGACUAAUAUUAUCCUGACCGUAUAAUUUUUUAUCCAAGGAUUAAAAACUUGAUAGCACAAAAAGCGUUUUACUAUUAAUAGUAUUCCAACCUAUAUAUAUAUAUAUAUAUAUAUUUAUAUAGAGUGAGGCUACUAUGCUAUCAGAAGCACAGAGCCUUCCGUGCUUCCAGCUCGUUUUCGAUGUUGCGACUUUCGAAUCGUCAAUCGGCUUCGUUA
rnacentral:lncRNA from 1 species